rnacentral:rRNA from 1 species
UCGGCCCUUUCUUAUACUUGCAGUCGAGCGGACAGAUGGGAGCUUGCUCCCUGAUGUUAGCGGCGGACGGGUGUAGUAACACGUGGGUAACCUGCCUGUAAGACUGGGAUAACUCCGGGAAACCGGGGCUAAUACCGGAUGCUUGUUUGAACCGCAUGGUUCAGACAUAAAAGGUGGCUUCGGCUACCACUUACAGAUGGACCCGCGGCGCAUUAGCUAGUUGGUGAGGUAACGGCUCACCAAGGCGACGAUGCGUAGCCGACCUGAGAGGGUGAUCGGCCACACUGGGACUGAGACACGGCCCAGACUCCUACGGGAGGCAGCAGUAGGGAAUCUUCCGCAAUGGACGAAAGUCUGACGGAGCAACGCCGCGUGAGUGAUGAAGGUUUUCGGAUCGUAAAGCUCUGUUGUUAGGGAAGAACAAGUGCCGUUCAAAUAGGGCGGCACCUUGACGGUACCUAACCAGAAAGCCACGGCUAACUACGUGCCAGCAGCCGCGGUAAUACGUAGGUGGCAAGCGUUGUCCGGAAUUAUUGGGCGUAAAGGGCUCGCAGGCGGUUUCUUAAGUCUGAUGUGAAAAGCCCCCCGGCUCAACCGGGGAGGGGUCAUUGGAAAACUGGGGAACUUGAGUGGCAAAAGAGGAGAGUGGAAUUCCACGUGUAGCGGUGAAAAUGCGUAGAGAUGUGGGAGAAACACAGGUGGCCGAAGGCGACUUCUCUGGUCUGCAAUUGACGCCUGAAGAGCGAAAAUCUGGGAG